rnacentral:rRNA from 1 species
GAGCAAACAGGAUUAGAUACCCUGGUAGUCCACGCCGUAAACGAUGUCUACUUGGAGGCUGUGCUCUUGAGCCGUGGCUUCCGGAGCUAACGCGUUAAGUAGACCGCCUGGGGAGUACGGCCGCAAGGUUAAAACUCAAAUGAAUUGACGGGGGCCCGCACAAGCGGUGGAGCAUGUGGUUUAAUUCGAUGCAACGCGAAGAACCUUACCUACUCUUGACAUCCAGAGAACUUAGCAGAGAUGCUUUGGUGCCUUCGGGAACUCUGAGACAGGUGCUGCAUGGCUGUCGUCAGCUCGUGUUGUGAAAUGUUGGGUUAAGUCCCGCAACGAGCGCAACCCUUAUCCUUUGUUGCCAGCGGUCCGGCCGGGAACUCAAAGGAGACUGCCAGUGAUAAACUGGAGGAAGGUGGGGAUGACGUCAAGUCAUCAUGGCCCUUACGAGUAGGGCUACACACGUGCUACAAUGGCGCAUACAAAGAGAAGCGACCUCGCGAGAGCAAGCGGACCUCAUAAAGUGCGUCGUAGUCCGGAUUGGAGUCUGCAACUCGACUCCAUGAAGUCGGAAUCGCUAGUAAUCGUGGAUCAGAAUGCCACGGUGAAUACGUUCCCGGGCCUUGUACACACCGCCCGUCACACCAUGGGAGUGGGUUGCAAAAGAAGUAGGUAGCUUAACCUUCGGAGGCGCUA